UACGAAGGGGGCUAGCGUUGUUCGGAAUUACUGGGCGUAAAGCGCACGUAGGCGGACUAUUAAGUCAGGGGUGAAAUCCCGGGGCUCAACCCCGGAACUGCCUUUGAUACUGGUAGUCUCGAGUCCGGAAGAGGUGAGUGGAAUUCCGAGUGUAGAGGUGAAAUUCGUAGAUAUUCGGAAGAACACCAGUGGCGAAGGCGGCUCACUGGUCCGGUACUGACGCUGAGGCGCGAAAGCGUGGGGAGCGAACAGG
rnacentral:rRNA from 1 species